GGAUCACUCUACAUUUCCUGGCUGCACUCUCUACUGGAUCUGCACAGCUAAUAUACUGCACUGUUACGUCUCUAAGCUCGCCCAGGACCUCAUCUGUAGUAGGGAUUGGAGGAGGGGGUGGUGGUGUGACUUCAGUGGUUGACAUGGUUCUUUCCAAGGGUGGUCGUCGUGUUCUUGAGUUCUCAGACGCCUCAGGUAGAGUUUGAUGGUAUCCUUUCUCUCGGGUUCCUGCUUCCCAUAGCAUGGUCUUUUGAAGAGAAGGAUCGUCUGGAAUAGCUUUCACCCUGUUUCCUGUGACCAUAAUGGUAGUCACUAGGAGAUGUUUGGGAGGAUCUCCUACUUCUCGUCGGGCUGAGUGUUUUUCUGUGGUCAGAGGGGGCAGCACUCGAGAAACCACGAUUCUCAGAUAUGUUCUCCUUUGUAGAGGGAGCACGGAAAUUAUCACUCGGUGUAUAAUAGUUUCUUCGCACUUCAGGAUGCCAGAAAUGUUUAGGGAGACCUUGGAUCUCCACCCAGAAGGGAAUCAUAGAAGGAAAAGUCUCGGAG